rnacentral:rRNA from 1 species
AGUACAGUGUGAAAAACUCCGGUGGUACAGGAUGGACCCGCGUCUGAUUAGCUGGUUGGCGGGGUAACGGCCCACCAAGGCGACGAUCAGUAGCCGGCCUGAGAGGGUGAACGGCCACAUUGGGACUGAGACACGGCCCAAACUCCUACGGGAGGCAGCAG